CAGAAGCCCAGCAGAGGCCCAGCAGAAGCCCAGCCGAGGCCCAGUGGAGGCCCAGGGCUGACGGUGGCCCUGCUGGUUCUGGAUUUUGCCUCAGGUUGACCUAGCCCAGCUCCAGUCCUGAGGGAGGAAGAAGCAGAAGAGGCCUGGUGGUCUCCCUGGCCCUCUGCCAUUCUGUCUUCUCUAUCAUCCUCCAUGGUCAGCUGGGCCCGGGUCCAGGGUGAGAGCAAGAGGAGAAACCCCUCGUCGCUCCCCAGACCGGCAGCAUAGACUGUGUGCACGGGUCUUGGCCAUAGGACCAGGUGGGGGGACCUCCCAGGAAGACGUGCCCCUCACUCCCAGCUGCUGAGCCAGGGUUCUCAGCCACAGAGCCCCGGGGCAACAGGGACGGUUCAUGUGCAGACUUCCGGGCCUGGACUGGAGUUCACGAGGGCCCAGCUCAGGAACUGGCGUGUUUUCAGCUACUCCCUCUGAGUCUGAAGCAGGUGGAGCCUGGACCACCCCAAGCAACUUGUUCCUUGGAACUUUCCAGAACCCUGAUGUGUAUCAAAGACAAUGGGUGUCCUCAGAACCCACAGAGGGCAGCCAGCAGGGCUCCCUUGGCCCUCUGAGUUCAUCCUCCUCUCAGGAAACUGCCCCACCUUCAGAUUCUUCUCCAGGACCCAUGAGGCUGUCUGCACCAUGAUCUCCCUGGAAGAGAGCACCCAGGAACCAUGAGGCCAGUUCUGUCUGCAUCCUGGCUGGGAAGAAGUUCUUCAUCUGGGUCUCCCCAGGACCAAACAGGCCUGACAGUGCAGGCCCAUCCACUCUCCAGCAAGGCCUGCUCAGGACACCCUGCGGCCCACUCUCUUCCUGGGACCACCACAGGCAGAACUGGAAAGAAACCCAUUUAUGACUCUUCUUCCCAACUGCCUCUGUCCCCUGCCACUACGAAGAUGCCACCUCCACACCCUCCUGCUCUGAGGAGAGGGCAUCCUCCCCUCCCUCGAGAGGCCACGGACUGUAAGUAUUGACCCUCCCGGGGCCUCGUCUUCAGGGGCUGACGUUCGGCUGGGGCUCAAGUGGAGAAUUCACGUCCCCAAGACGUUGGGGCUGUUGGGGUUGGUGCUCUCCAAGUGCCCCGCUGGGCUGGGCACCCUCCUUCUGCCCCGACCCUUCCCCCACGCCAGCCCCACCUGCCCUACCCUCCCUCAGGGAUGGUGUGGGGUUGCAUGGCAUCUCCCCAAGACGUAUUCGAGUCAAUCCCAGAUACUGUGGAUGGGUAUUUGGAAAUGGCAUUUUGCUGAUAUGCUCAAGAUAGGACGAGGGCAUACAGGACUAGGGUGGGCCCUGCCCCAGCGACAAUGUCCAAGACAGAAGAGGUCAUGCACAGAGGAACGGCCCUGGGAAGGCGGAGAGGCUGACUGCAUGAGCCCAGACCUCCAGAAGGAACCCUCCUCUGCCGCCUCUGUCACUUUGAUCUUGGAUUCCUGCCCUCCAGACUGCAGAGGCCCAGCCUGCUGUGCCCAGCCUCCUGGUUGGUGGUUCUUUGAUCUGUAGC